UUUCUCUCCCUCUUGGCCUCAUGUUUUUCGUUCUCUCACUAGAACAACAACAACACAACAUUUCCUCUCUUUCAUUGUUUUCCUCGCCGGACAACAACAAAGGGAGUUCUCACUUGGUUCCAUUUCCUGCGAAACAACAAUAACGACGGCAGGCUCCUCUCUCGGUGCUCAUCCUUCAAGCUCUCGCGAGUUUUCUUUGUGAACAAAGACAACAACAACGCUCUCCAUCUCUCUCUUGAUGAACAACAGCGACAACAAUGUUUUCUUUUUCGCAAUGGACAACAACAACAUAAGCUCUUACUUUCGCUAUGCUAACAGUUCUCACUCUCGGUGAAACAACCAUAAAAGCAUCUGGUCUCUUUUGAUUGAAAACAAACACAAGAAGCGAAUAAAAGCAAAUAUUUAAGAGUAAGGUGGAGAUGACUUACCUACGGUGAGGAGGUUUUUGCCGGAUUAACGUUGAGGUUUGAAAGGGAGUUUGGAUGUUGCAGGAACUUUGGAUGUUAGGGAUGCUCAAAGGUUGAGCUUGCUGGAAGUUGAAGACUUGAAGAUGAAGUUUCAAGUUUGUUGAAGGAUGCUAGUAAGUGAGGUAUGAAACACUUACUUCUCUUCUCUCUUUUUUUUUUAUCUUGUAGAUGAAGUUCUUACUACUUCUACAAGACCUUUUUUAUGUGAAAGAAGCUUUGAAGUGUGAGAACUUUGUGUGUGUUCUCCGAUUUUUUUUCAUGUCAUAAUUGGUUUGCCUUUCUUCUAUAUAUAGAGGAAAAAAUGAAGGAUAAUUUUGGUCAUUUUGGAACCAAAGCUUAGUCCUUAAGCUCACUUAGUUACUAAGUUGUCAUCAUUGCAAAGAAUAUUCUUUCCCAAAAUAAUCAUUGCAAAAGUUUCUUUCAUGCUAAGUUUGCUUAAUGGCAAAGCUCCACAAGUUUGUGCACAUGGGAGAAUAUGCACAUGGGAUGGAAAUAUAUUCUUCAUAACUCUUGUAGUUCCACGACACAUGUGCAUAAGUUCAUGUCAUAACAAGUUAGUAAGCUUCUAAGUGUAGUAUGACAUGAAAAUAUUUCUUUGACUUUUUGACAUCUUUGACUUGAUUUGGGCUUUUGGGCCCUUCUUGAAUUAUUUUUGUUGAUCUUUUGCUAAUUCCACCCUUUUUGUUUCUUUUUCAUGUGACAUGAGGAAUUUGGACUUGAAGAAUGGAAGCUUGAAGAUUUGAAGAAUUCAAGAAGCUUUGCAUUUUCGCUUGUUGUAAUUCCAAUUCAUUCCACCUUAGAAUUGUAUGAAUUUGGACAUUGUAUUCUUGAGAAUCAAUGGAACUUUAAAUGUUGUAACAUCUUGAAUUUUGAAUGAAGUCCACCUUGUAAUUCAUUUGGAAAUUGGAACUUUUUUCAUGUAAAGAA